rnacentral:rRNA from 1 species
CCCUUAGAUGUCCUGGGCCGCACGCGUGCUACAAUGACACAUUCAGCGAGUAUUUCCUGAUCCGACAGGAUUCGGGUAAUCUUUUUAGUGUGUGUCGUGUUAGGGAUAGAUCUUUGUAAUUAUGGAUCUUGAACGAGGAAUUCCUAGUAAGUGCAAGUCAUCAGCUUGUACUGAUUACGUCCCUGCAAAAUGUACACACCGCCCGUCGCUAUUGCCGAUUGAGUGCUCAGGUGAACCUUCUUGAUUGCUGCAAAGUGAAAAAUUAAGUAAACCUUAGCACUUAGAGGGAAUAAAAGUCGUAACA